UGAUUUCGUUAAUUUGUACUGUGGGCAUUUUUGCAAAUUUGUUAGGAACAGACCAUGCACUCUAGGUGCUUGUGUUUAUUCUUCUAUAAGAACUUUUUAGAUGUCUUAUUAAGAAACCUUUCUCCCUGAUUAAUUAUUAUUUAUUACCUAAUUUCCGCUUCUUCUUCUUUCCAAAGAAAAUGAAUUGAAGAUCAUGAUCAUGUUUGUGUUGUUCUUCUUGUUGUCUAUCUGAAUACAAUUAUUGAGCUAUUUUGUUUUAAAACAAUAUGCACCAUUAAUGGAUAAUAUCAUAGGUAUUAUGAAGGUGGCAUUUCAUCAGUUUACAUGUGGGAAAAUGAUAAUGAAGGUUUCGUAGCCUGCUUUUUAAUAAAGAAAGAUGGCUCAAAGACAGGGCAGGGUUGACGGGGAUAUUUAGAGGAAGGUGCAUGGGAUGCUAUACAUGUUAUAGAGGUGGGACCAGAGGAAGAAGAAAACACCAAUUAUCGGUUAACCAGUACAGUUAUGCUGACUCUGACUACAAAUAAUGAGUCAUCAAGAACUUUCAGUUUAUCUGGAUCA